AGAAUCAACGCUGGCGGCGUGCCUAACACAUGCAAGUCGAACGAGAAAGGGUAGCAAUACCUGAGUAAAGUGGCGCACGGGUGAGUAACACGUGACUAACCUACCUUUUAGUGGGGGAUAACCUAGGGAAACCUGGGCUAAUACCGCAUAAUACCUACGGGUCAAAGCAGCAAUGCGCUGAAUGAGGGGGUCGCGGUCGAUUAGUUAGUUGGCAGGGUAAUGGCCUACCAAGACUGUGAUCGAUAUCCGGCCUGAGAGGGCGCACGGACACACUGGAACUGAAACACGGUCCAGACUCCUACGGGAGGCAGCAGUGGGGAAUUUUGCGCAAUGGGGGAAACCCUGACGCAGCAACGCCGCGUGGAGGAUGAAGUCCCUUGGGACGUAAACUCCUUUCGAUCGGGACGAUAAUGACGGUACCGGAGAAGAAGCCCCGGCUAACUUCGUGCCAGCAGCCGC
rnacentral:rRNA from 1 species